rfam:Gasterosteus aculeatus cont1.015586, whole genome shotgun sequence.
GGGGGUAUAGCCUCAGUGGUAGAGCAUUUGACUGCAGAUCAAGAGGUCCCCAGUUCAAAUCUGGGUGCCCCCU